rnacentral:lncRNA from 1 species
GCUCCUAAAAUUUGCUUUAGACAAGACAAUAAGGAAGCAGUUAGAGGAUUCUUCUUUCAGAUUGGGCAGCUAUAUAUGACGCAUCAUCUUUGGGCUUACAAGGAUCUUCAGACCAGAAAAAAAUAAUAUGGAAUGCAGCAUGGCACAAACAUGACUCGGAAUUGGUGAAUUAUACAGUCCUAUUUAUUCAGAAAAUGGAAUCCAGAAUCAUGAUCCCAUAGAAUACUUAAGCCCUACAGUAAAGCUAGAG